rnacentral:lncRNA from 1 species
ACUAUUACUCUGUAUCCUGACAAAGCUAAUAGCCGUAUCCUCCUACUUGGAGAUUUGAGAAGCAUGAGUGCUGGACGUGAUCCUCAAGAUCUACCAUGUACAGCUCCAAGAUCUAAGUGUUUUCUUGAAUGAGAACUCAGACUCUCACUUUUGGCAGACAUUACUUGGAGAUGAGAGAUUCUUGAAAUUGGGCUUUUGGUGUCUGUAAUUAUUACUGGAAAGGGAAGAAUAGGGAUAAUGAGAUAAAUGACGUGGAGAGAUUCUCUCCUUAGAUUGUUAAAGAGAACUUUCACUACAAUCUAUUUACCACUUCCUCACUUUUAUUUCAUUAUGUGCCAUGGUCUUUCAGUCAGAAGAAUUUCUAGUUAAUGGAAAGGGAACUGUGAACUUUGUUAAUAUUGUUCAGUUCCCUUUUAUAUAGCACUCCUUCUCUUUGUCAGGCCUGUCUUUUACUGUAGUUAUUUC